rnacentral:rRNA from 1 species
CCUACGGGAGGCAGCAGUAGGGAAUCUUUCACAAUGGGCGAAAGCCUGAUGGAGCAACGCCGCGUGCAGGAUGGAGGCCUUCGGGUUGUAAACUGCUUUUAUAAGCGAGAAAUAUGAUGGUAACUUAUGAAUAAGGAUCGGCUAACUACGUGCCAGCAGCCGCGGUCAUACGUAGGAUCCGAGCAUUAUCCGGAGUGACUGGGUGUAAAGAGUUGCGUAGGUGGCAUAAUAAGUAGCUAGUGAAAUCUGGUGGCUCAACCAUUCAGACUAUUAGCUAAACUGUUAAGCUCGAGACCGUUAGGGGUAACUGGAAUUUCUAGUGUAGGAGUGAAAUCCGUAGAUAUUAGAAGGAACACCAAUAGCGUAGGCAGGUUGCUGGGACGGUUCUGACACUAAGGCACGAAAGCGUAGGGAGCAAACGGGAUUAGAUACCCGUGUAGUC